rnacentral:piRNA from 1 species
CUCUUGACAGUGGGAUGACGAUAACCAUAA